UACUCCUACGGGAGGCAGCAGUGGGGAAUAUUGGACAAUGGGCGCAAGCCUGAUCCAGCCAUACCGCGUGGGUGAAGAAGGCCUUCGGGUUGUAAAGCCCUUUUGUUGGGAAAGAAAUCCAGCCGGCUAAUACCCGGUUGGGAUGACGGUACCCAAAGAAUAAGCACCGGCUAACUUCGUGCUAGCAGCCGCGGUAAUACGAAGGGUGCAAGCGUUACUCGGAAUUACUGGGCGUAAAGCGUGCGUAGGUGGUCGUUUAAGUCCGUUGUGAAAGCCCUGGGCUCAACCUGGGAACUGCAGUGGAUACUGGGCGACUAGAGUGUGGUAGAGGGUAGCGGAAUUCCUGGUGUAGCAGUGAAAUGCGUAGAGAUCAGGAGGAACAUCCAUGGCGAAGGCAGCUACCUGGACCAACACUGACACUGAGGCACGAAAGCGUGGGGAGCAAACAGGAUUAGAUACCCUGGUAGUCCACGCCCUAAACGAUGCGAACUGGAUGUUGGGUGCAAUUUGGCACGCAGUAUCGAAGCUAACGCGUUAAGUUCGCCGCCUGGGGAGUACGGUCGCAAGACUGAAACUCAAAUGAAUUGACGGA
rnacentral:rRNA from 1 species